AUUGAACGCUGGCGGCAGGCUUAACACAUGCAAGUCGAGCGGAGAUGAGGUGCUUGCACCUUAUCUUAGCGGCGGACGGGUGAGUAAUGUGCAGGAAUGUACCCUAAAGAGCGGGAUAACCUGGGGAAACUUAGGCUAAUACCGCAUGAACUCUGAGGAGCAAAGGCUGGGGACCCUGAAAGGGGCCUGGUGCUUUAGGAGCAGCCUGCAUUCGAUUAGCUAGUUGGUGAGGUAAGGGCUUACCAAGGCGAUGAUCGAUAGCUGGUCUGAGAGGACGGACAGCCACACUGGGACUGAGACACGGCCCAGACUCCUACGGGAGGCAGCAGUGGGGAAUAUUGGACAAUGGGGGCAACCCUGAUCCAGCAAUGCCGCGUGUGUGAAGAAGGCCUGAGGGUUGUAAAGCACUUUUGUUGGGGAGGAGGGUGAAUAGGUUAAGAGCUAAUUUACCGGACGUUACCCAAAGAAUAAGCACCGGCUAACUCCGUGCCAGCCGCCGCGGUAACAC
rnacentral:rRNA from 1 species